AGUACUUGAGUUAACAAAGACUUUUUGCUUUAGGGUUCAAUGCGAGGAGAUUGUGAACAAUCCAUGCAUGUCACUGGCAAGGCAUUGAUGUCCGAUGAAAUAAAAAACUAUGUACAGUCUCUUCAGCAACAAAUGGAGGCAAGGUAGAAUGCAAGAGGCUGAGAUGGUAUUACAUAAGAUGAUUGAUAAGGGUGUCAAUCCUGAUAAAUCAAUAUACACAUCACUAAUAAACGGGCAUGUCUCUAAAGAUAACCUGAAAGAGACAUUCCGUGUCCAUGAUGAAAUGCUGCAAAGGGGAUUUGUCCCAGAUGACAAAUUCUAGAAAUUUUACCGUUAUGCUACAAUGUUAUAGCUCUUUUGGUCUAAAUUGACUAGGCAUUUCACAUGACAAUUGCAUGGAGUUAAUUGUUUCUAUAUUGUUGAAGCAGAAACCUUGAAGUUGUUGCAGUUAUGAAGCAUAGCAUGAGAGUUAAAGCAUGCUUCCUUGCUCUUGUACUAAAGAAGUUGGUCUUGUUCUCCAAAUACGUGAUUGGCAGGAAGAAAGGGUCCAAGAGAUAAGCAAAAAUCAGUUCAUUCGUUGCAGGUAGAAAUUGGAAGGCUCAAAGGAAGGUUGACUGAAGUUAUCAGUAACUGCGAUUGGAUCUUGGAAUGUUGCUGGAAGACAUCCAUCCCAGGAUCUUGAUAUUGAUGACUAGAUUUGUGCCGAAGAACCGAGUGAUAUUCUCGCUGCUCGUUUCUAUUUAUUUUACAAUUUCUAGUUUUGUUCAAUUGUUUCUAAAUGUGAGUUGUUUUCACAUCAGUAGGGUGCUCUCUACUGGGAGUCACAUUUUAUCUGUUCAGUGCUAUUUUCCAUUUCUUUAAAGAGAUUAUUCCUCAUCCAUUGUACUGCUUAUAUGCUAUAAUCAAUAUACCACUAUUUCCUCCA